UACGUAGGGUGCGAGCGUUAAUCGGAAUUACUGGGCGUAAAGCGUGCGCAGGCGGUCUGUUAAGACAGAUGUGAAAUCCCCGGGCUUAACCUGGGAACUGCAUUUGUGACUGGCAGGCUAGAGUAUGGCAGAGGGGGGUAGAAUUCCACGUGUAGCAGUGAAAUGCGUAGAUAUGUGGAGGAACACCGAUGGCGAAGGCAGCCCCCUGGGUCAAGACUGACGCUCAUGCACGAAAGCGUGGGGAGCAAACAGG
rnacentral:rRNA from 1 species